UACGUAGGGGGGCAAGCGUUGUCCGGAAUCAUUGGGCGUAAAGAGCGUGUAGGCGGCCAGAUAAGUCCGCUGUGAAAUCUCGAGGCUCAACUUCGAGCUGUCGGUGGAAACUGUCUGGCUAGAGUCCGGAAGAGGAGAAUGGAAUUCCUGGUGUAGCGGUGAAAUGCGCAGAUAUCAGGAAGAACACCCGUGGCGAAGGCGGUUCUCUGGGACGGUACUGACGCUGAGGUGCGAAA
rnacentral:rRNA from 1 species